CUGAACCCCUUCUCACUCAAUCCUCUCUCAAAUCCUCUCAAACCCUAGCCGACAUCAUCGAACUACAACCCUAAUAUUUCCUAAAUCUAUGGCUUCUAAGGUAAUCAGAGACCUGUAUCCACCUCUCAUGACCUCUACGUGUUCAAUUUUGUCGUCUCAUGACCAGAUCAUGAAGGGUUUUUUUCCAGUCUUUGCUCGAUGGCUAUUCUCUCGUCGUCCUUGACUUUUCUCCGGCCAGCCAUGGCUAUUCGAGUCAGAAUUUUGACUCCCAUGCUUAGAUCGAUGGUUUUCAAAGCCUUUCUCAUCAUUUGGGGUUCUUCUAGAACUCUAACCUCUAAGGUUCUUCCGAUUUUUUUUAGAUCUAUUUCAGAUCUAUGUUUGCUAUGAACUUGUAAGUGUUUUUCUCAAUUCUCUUAAAAACGCUGCUUUCAAAACUCUUUCUCUUUUCCGAUUAGGAUUUUCUUGUUAAGAUAUUUCAAAACUUUUCUAUGAUUUUAACAUAUGUUACUAUGUUUGUUUGUGUUAUUCUGCCUGAGUUUGCAUGUUAAAUCUUAUUUCUUUUGACUGUUUAUUAGACGAAUGUAUGUUUUCUUGAGUUUUAUCCGAUUUGUUUUUUUAUCCAUCUUUAAAAUUUUUCUAACAACCUUAUGGCUUUGAGUCUGAGACUGUUAGUUUAAGUGCAUGACUCGAUUUGAAGUUUUUUAUUUCAAAACCUUUUAUUCCUUUGUGUGAUUCUUCUUAUUAUGGGUUUCUAUCAUCUCUAAAACUUGAUUAUGUUCGAAAUCCUAAUUUUUCAAAAGGGGUUUUCCUCACUUUCUACUGUGAGAUCUUCGCAUGCUUUUGAUAUUCUAUGUUUCUUCACUACCGAUUCAACAAACUAUCAUGCUUUAAAUGUUGCUAUCUAUUGCAUUUUCCUUUUGUGCUGCUAUUGUAUGCUAUUUCCUUUUUCCAACAGGCUUGGCCUCGCAUGUUUAAUGUUUAUGCACCCUGUUUAUAUGCCAAGUCUCAUUCUUUGACUGUUUUUAAAACUUGUGACUAAUUUCAAUCUUUUCCUUUGUGAAAUUCUAAUUUCACUUGCACGUUAAAGUUAACUGAUUUCUUUUCCUAUUUUGCCUUAGAGAAUCCUUUCCAAAAUUAGAGUAUCUCUGUACCUAGACUCAAUUGCUAGCUAAAUGUUUUACUAAAUCUUUUAUGGCAACUGUUAGCCUGCUGACAAAUUGAUUUCUUUCCUUGUUUUAAACAUGUCCCGUCAAGCAAGCGGUCCCUUAAUUAAAGGGAUUCACUUGUAUAAUUGAUUCUGAAUCAUGAUUGUUUCCAUGUUUGUGGCUUAUUACAUCUCUCUUACUCGUUUUUAAAAACUAUAAAUACCAUGUACUUCUUUUCUUUCGAGGACACAAACACAAGGCAUAACACUUGAGUUCAAACACACACUACACUAAAACUCUUUCUCCUCUCUGCUGCUACUAUAUUGCUGCCUUACCUAGCCGGCUGAAAGCUAAGGCUAGGAUGUGGGGAAACUUGUUUAUUUUCUACAUUUUCUUUUCUUACUGGUAUGUUCUAAUUAAGUUUUUUGCACCAAUAACAACAUGCUUAUUUACUGUUUCUUGCAUCCUUGCUUGUCUACUAUGUGUAUUUAAUUCAGUACCAUUAUUAAGCAUGCUUUAAUUUGUCCUUUUCUGAUUCUUAUUUAAUGUUUUUUGCCAUUACCUAUUAUGACCUGCGAAUCCUUGAUCCUUUUCCCAAAGUGUUUAAUACUUGUGGUUGUUUUGGGAUAUGAUAACAUUAGAAAUUGUUAUGCAUGACCCAAACUUGAUCCUCCUAGGAUCAUAACCUCUAUGUUCUUCUUAUAUGUUGUGUAUUCUGGUUGAUUUACAGGUGUGUCAGCACUUCCUAUUGUUGUGCAUGCCCAAAUUUAACCCAUGCCUGAGUGUAUAAGCUCCUUCCAAUGGAUUCCCAAUCCCCUGCCCCCUUUGUAUGAAGUUAUUGACUCCCUAAAAUGUUAAUGGCUAUCUCCCAUCACCCUUUCCCUCUCCUUUAUUUCCUCAGUUUUUAAAACUCUGUUUCUGCACUUUCACUCUCUUCUUAGACUUAAGUUCUUCCCCAUCCUCGUGUGAGCCUUGCCUUGGGACCUAUGAGCUCCCUUUGAACUUAGACACAUGAGGGAUGGCAGUUCCACACUACACUCAUCCCUAUUCUGGUUAUGUAACUUGGGUGUGAGUAUUGCUCGGGGUCCUAUUGAGUCCCUUAGGUAACUUUGACACACCCAGAUCUGAGAAAGUCUUUGAAAUCAAUGGCGUUGGAAAUGAUACGGUUCCUUGCAUAUCUUAGAUGGGAAGUGAAAUCAGGUUUUCCUAUGGUUGUAGUUCUUUUUCUUUCAUUCUUUCUGUUGUAGUUUGGUUUUCCUGGUUUGUACUAACCUAUAAUAAACGUUGGUGAUGGCUAGUGGAAAGGGUUGGGUGAGCGUGUAUGGUUAAGGGUAGAAAGCAUGCCUAUAGGAUUGUUUAAAUUCUUUGUGUUCAAUUCUGAAUUUUUAGACACCAUGUCUAUAGGGUUUAUCUCAAUUUCUUCAUGGUCAACGUCACACCUAGAUAACCUACCUAUAAGACCUGUUUAAAUUCUUUAUGCUCAAUUCUACAUUUUUAGACACCAUGUCUAUAGGGUUUAUCUAAAUUUCUUUAUGGCCAAUGUUACACCUAGAUAACCUGCCUAUAGGAUGUAUUUUAAAUUUGCAUGCCACUUAAAUAUUAUGAUUUAGGUUUUAAAUGGCUAAAAUAAGUGUCAUGUUCGUAAUACUGAAAAUCAGUAACACAUAGAAAUUAUGCCUAUAGGUGUUGUUAAAUAAAUCUGAUUUGCUUCACUCUCAUUCAAUGUUAGAUAUCAUCUUCAUAGAGUUUAAAUCAACAAUAAUAGGUACCAUCACCUGCAGAACCUGAAACUGGUCCGUAUUAAAAUCAGUCUAUUCUGAAUCAGUUUUGAACAAUAUAAUUCACUUACUUAACGAGGUUUAGCAAGCAUUCCUAUAGGAUCUCAAACUAUUCGUUACGAUUUAUUACUGUUUC
rnacentral:lncRNA from 1 species